rnacentral:snoRNA from 1 species
CUGAGCCGGUGAUGAGAUGAUUGGUUAUCCCUGUCCGAAACGUUCCGCUGUGGAAGCGUGACUCUGAGGCUCAG